UCGGAGUUUCAACGAGGGCAGGGUGGUACAGCUCUGGGGUCUUACGCUGGGAAGCUGGGGGUUAUUUUGGCUACAGCCUCUCUAUUGUUGGUUCAUACAGUGGUUGGUCAAAGCCUGCAUGCAACUCCCGCUGGGUGUGUCCCUGCCGAUGUGGAUGCUGGUGGGAGUGGAGGACUGGGAGCGGUCUACAGCUUGUCACAACAGCACAGUGUGAGAGGGAGUCCAGGCUGGUGAGUGAGAGGGCUCAGUGGUACCCCAGUUCCAGGUGGCACCCCGGGGGGAACCCGUCACAGCCACAACCCCAUGCUCCAG